rnacentral:rRNA from 1 species
UGCCCUACGGGGGGCAGCAGUAGGGAAUCUUCCACAAUGGGCGCAAGCCUGAUGGAGCAACACCGCGUGAGUGAAGAAGGGUUUCGGCUCGUAAAGCUCUAUUGUUGGAGAAGAACGUGCGUGAGAGUAACUGUUCACGCAGUGACGGUAUCCAACCAGAAAGUCACGGCUAACUACGUGCCAGCAGCCGCGGUAAUACGUAGGGAGCAAGCGUUAUCCGGAUUUAUUGGGUGUAAAGGGGGCGUAGACGGGAAAUUAAGUUAGUUGGGAAAUCCCUCGGCUCAACUGAGGAACUGCAACUAAAA